rnacentral:rRNA from 1 species
UACGGAGGAGGCAAGCGUUAUCCGGAAUUAUUGGGCGUAAAGCGUCCGCAGGUGGCGAUUCAAGUCUGCGGUCAAAGACUGGGGCUUAACCCUGGAAAGGCCGUGGAAACUGAAAAGCUAGAGUGCAGUAGGGGUAGAGGGAAUUCCCGGUGUAGCGGUGAAAUGCGCAGAUAUCGGGAAGAACACCCGUGGCGAAGGCGGUUCUCUGGGACGGUACUGACGCUGAGACGCGAAAGCGUGGGGAGCGAACAGG